GGCAGCACGGGGGCAACCCUGGUGGCGAGCGGCGAACGGGUGAGUAAUGCAUCGGAACGUACCCAGUCGUGGGGGAUAACUGUCCGAAAGGACAGCUAAUACCGCAUACGUCCUGAGGGAGAAAGCGGGGGAUCGCAAGACCUCGCGCGAUUGGAGCGGCCGAUGCCGGAUUAGCUAGUUGGUAGGGUAAAGGCCUACCAAGGCGACGAUCCGUAGCUGGUCUGAGAGGAUGAUCAGCCACACUGGAACUGAGACACGGUCCAGACUCCUACGGGAGGCAGCAGUGGGGAAUUUUGGACAAUGGGGGCAACCCUGAUCCAGCCAUUCCGCGUGAGUGAAGAAGGCCUUCGGGUUGUAAAGCUCUUUCGGCAGGAACGAAACGGUGGAGGCUAAUACCCUCUACUAAUGACGGUACCUGAAGAAGAAGCACCGGCUAACUACGUGCCAGCAGCCGCGGUAAUACGUAGGGUGCGAGCGUUAAUCGGAAUUACUGGGCGUAAAGCGUGCGCAGGCGGUUUUGUAAGACAGGUGUGAAAUCCCCGGGCUUAACCUGGGAACUGCGCUUGUGACUGCAAGACUUGAGUGCGGCAGAGGGGGGUGGAAUUCCACGUGUAGCAGUGAAAUGCGUAGAGAUGUGGAGGAACACCGAUGGCGAAGGCAGCCCCCUGGGUCGACACUGACGCUCAUGCACGAAAGCGUGGGUAGCAAACAGGAUUAGAUACCCUGGUAGUCCACGCCCUAAACGAUGCGAACUAGGUGUUGGGGAAGGAGACUUUCUUAGUACCGCAGCUAACGCGUGAA
rnacentral:rRNA from 1 species